CUCAAUGUCAAUAAAGUCACAAAAUAAGUGGAACAAAAUCAAUGACAUCCAAGAUCAAUUAGAGUCAGAGGGGAGAGGCAGUAUUGGGGAAACAUUCAUUAUCUCUUGCAUCAGUAAUUUUUACUGUGUUCCCAUGACCCUGAGCCCUGGGUAUAUGCCUGGCUGGAAGUGUUUUGGUUUAUUCAAGAAAAACGUCCAUACAAAUAAAAUGAUGAAAUAAUUUAUAAAUGAGAACAAUACCUAGAAUAAAGCAAAUACUUUCUAGCUCUGUUGAGCUUCUCGUUGAAAACCAAAAUAUUCCUCCUUCAUGGCUGGUGCCAAGGAGGCCAGAAGAAGGCAUUGGAUCACCUGGAGCUGGAGUUACAGAUAGUCGUGAGCUAUCAUGUGGGUGCUGAGAAUUGAACCCAGGUUCCUAGAAGAGCAGACAGUGUUUUAAGUGUCGGGGCAUCUGAACACCCUUCUGGUUUGUUGUUGUUAUGUUGUUGUGUUUUGUUUUGUUAUCAUUUAGUUGCUUUUUUUUAGUUCUCUCAUAGUUCACUGAAUGUCUUUGAAUUAUUCUUUGAACUCUCUCAGUGUAGGGUUGGUAAGUCCCUUUAGUUGUUUUGAUGAUGUUUUAUUUCCCAGAUUCCUUGCUUUGAUAUUUGUACAAAUGAAUAAGUUGUCACUUCUCCUAGUCUUGUAUCUUGGUUUUAUAAAGGAAGUUACUUUUGCCAUUUGGCCUAGUUGCCAAUUCUAGACCAUAUGGCCUACACGUGUGGGUAGGUCUUACCAAGGCAUCAGUGGAUAGCUGUUGUCAGAGUCUAUAAGUAGACUGAUUGAGCAGCAAGAUUUCAUUGGUAUAUAUGUUGAUUCUAGAAUUAGACCUAUUGCUGGAGCCAUGGCUUGGCCCAAUGUUGAUGUCUACAAACUCAGUUUACUUAUCCAGAGCUGUGUGGGAGGAUGCUGUUCUGGUUUUGUUCUGCUGUUUUCUUUUCUGCAUGAAGAAUUUCUCAGGCAGAAAGGACCUCUGUUAUCGCUAUGUUUUGCAAUAUUGAGGGGGAUUUUGAUCUAGGAACUGUAACAUAUAUUCAAUGUUUCUUUUUCUCAUUUCUGUCCUCUACCUGGGUGGUAUAAUUUCUCACUUAUAUUAUGAGCUGUUUGUACAGAUGUUUUUGCCAGUGGGCUGUUGUUAUUUUUGGUGAGUUGGAUGGAGAGGAAAGGAAAAAAAAUAUAUGCUUUUAUUAGGAAUAACUCAUUUAUAAUUUUAAUUGCCUUAUAGAUUUGUCAUUUUCUAGCAGGUUUUCAGGAAAACUGUCUUUGUAUCCUCCACAAAAAGUACACAGCUUUUAAAAAGUGAAGUUACACCAAUUGGAAGGAUAUGAAGUAUAUUCUGUAAAUACUAUUACUUAAAAACAUACAUGUCCUCCUUCAGGACAGCCUGAAGAGCUGAGUAUGGCUGUCAAUUUUAGCCCUUGGAUGUUCUCUUUAGUAAGAUAUGUAGAAACCUUAAAUUCUCAUUUCAUGUUCUAGGCCUUUAGGUUAGCACUGGGUUACACAGCUUUGGUUAUUAUUAAUAAGAUCGAGGUCAUUUUUUGUACCACACAAAUUCUAUUUUCAAAGUGUAACUCAUGAAAGACAUUAAGAUGAAAUGAACACAGUCAGACUUGGUUUCAAGGGAAUACUGAAGAAGUGGCAGCCAAGAAGUGUUGGCAGCCGUGGAUGGAGCUUGUCUCUCACGGGUUUGAUCUGGGCUUUGAUUGUAUGCAGGGGUUACAGGCAUUCUGCUCUUAUAUCUCUCUCUGGCAGUUAGAAUACUUUGAUUCUGGUGUGAUUUAGGGAUUUAAUUUCUCUUUCUGCUCCAUGUCACUACCGAGUCACUUCACAUCCAUACAUUCGCGUGUCUGUUAUGUAACCAUGAGUGUCUCAUCUGUAUUGAAGGCAUUGAAGGAAAGUGGCCAAUGCAUGCCAUUGCUGGUGAAGAAAUAAACCCGGGCUCAAUAGAAAUCUGCCUACCAAAUAUGCACAGAGAGCUGUCUUAGCCUUGUUUCUGUAGCUGUUUUUCGAUAAGACCUUAUUUUGCUUCUGCCUCUUGACCAAAAUGGUAACAAAAACUUUCACUAUGUAAAUUAGCUCAUUGUUUUGUUUUUGCUUCUUCUCAUGAAAUUUGCAAGGUCGAGUGGACUGUUUGAGGGUGGAUCAACUUAGUUUAAAAAGUGGUCCAAAUAGCUUCUUGAUAGCCCCCUGCCACUUCCCACCUGAGUCUUCUUUGGAUAUAUCCCCUCUCUUGAGUUCUCUUUAACUCUCCUUUCUGCCGGCCAGUCCCUUAUUUCUUUACAACAUCGCUGAGAGAGACUUCUUUUUAACCUGGUCAUGCGCAUCUCGAGACUUCCUUUGUCAUCUGAUUUGUUCUACUGUGAUGGAGCUAACAGGCCAGAAAUUCAGGCUGUAGAAGCACAUUGUCCAAGCUAAUUAGUGACAAUCGGCAUAACCACAGGCAAGUUAAUCAACUUCUCCAUGCCUCAGUGUCCUUUUCUAUAAGGCAAGGUGGUAAUUUCCUCAAAAGGUUGCUUGGAGAUUCUGUAGGUGAUAAUGAUAUGGGAAGAGAAUUUACUGAACUUUGGCAUAUGAUAAGAACUCAGUAAAGGCUCGGCGAUGUUGAGCUCUUAGGAUAGUGAAUUAAAAUCAUUGGUUAGCUCCUGCAAGAGUAUAACAUUUUCUACUCUCAGACUGAAAUGUCAUGGAAAUCUGAGAUGACUUUUCUCUCUUUUUCCUAGUAUCUACCAUGGUGCCUGGUAGAUUAUGUGUGAGCAAAGAUUAGUGAAUUUCUGAAUUCCAAAAUCUUGUAGCUGAGUCUCCAGGAGGUUAUGAAGGCUGACAUUUCAGUAUUAUACUUAUGUGACUUUAAAGUCACAUCAUAGUGUAUCCUCCAGAGUGUUCUUCCGGUGUGGAAUGUUAUUGUUUGUGGCCAGAGGAGUUCUGAGUAUCAAUGAUGAAGGUAUGUACAUGAGUAUCUAUCUGGAAUAUGUGAGUGUGUUAAAGACAGAAAGGGAAACAGAAUAUAAACUCCCUGUGGGAGCCAAAGCUGUCUGAGGCAAUUAUCUAAAACUUAGUGGUUGCUAAAGAUGGCUAAGGGUUUUAGAGAAAUGUUCACCAACACUUUACCAGUUCAGACAGAUCUCACAGAGUGUUGGAAAAAGUCAAAAGCUGGUGUCUUAACCAACUUUCUUGUUCCCCUUUCCACAUCUCCAGUGCAUGGGAUCAUGAGGACUUUCUAAGAAGAUCUACACACUGAACUAGGAGUGUAUCUCAGGUGGUGUAGUCCUCACUCAGCGUGCAUUGAAGUGUUCGAUCUCCUCUGGAACCAUAUACACCAAGUGUGGUGUCAGAAGCCUGUAAGCCCAGCAUCCUGAGGAGGAAUAUGAAACAGCAAUUAACAUUUUCUUACCAAAUUAUUUGGCUUCCAGGAACCAUCUGAUGUCUAUGAUCUGAGCUGCCACAUGAAACCAUGAAAUCCACAAUCCACGCAACUUCCGGAAACCACGUGGAAGUGCGUGAUCUGUGCUGCCGCUGGCAGCUAUGGGCGAGGAAGCUUUGUUUGUAGUGGUAUAGAUGACCUCCGACUCUGAUGGCUUAUGGUGUGGUGGGAGGGGGUGGAGGAGGGAGGGUGGGGAAUGGAAGGUAGGGGGAGGACUUGAUUUUCUUUAAGGGGCUGGCCCCUGGGAGUUUGACCAUACUCCAAUGAGUAUAUGGGCAACAGAAACUGGUCUUGGUAUUGUUUUGCUGUUGUUGAGGGGAGGGAGCAAGAGUGGAGGGAUGGCUCUGGGAGGAAUGGGAAAUGAGUAUGAUCAAAGGUGCAAUGUACAAAAUUUCUUAAUAAUUAAUUAAAAUAUAUUUAGAAAAA